rnacentral:rRNA from 1 species
GCGGACAGAAGGGAGCUUGCUCCCGGAUGUUAGCGGCGGACGGGUGAGUAACACGUGGGUAACCUGCCUGUAAGACUGGGAUAACUCCGGGAAACCGGAGCUAAUACCGGAUAGUUCCUUGAACCGCAUGGUUCAAGGAUGAAAGACGGUUUCGGCUGUCACUUACAGAUGGACCCGCGGCGCAUUAGCUAGUUGGUGAGGUAACGGCUCACCAAGGCGACGAUGCGUAGCCGACCUGAGAGGGUGAUCGGCCACACUGGGACUGAGACACGGCCCAGACUCCUACGGGAGGCAGCAGUAGGGAAUCUUCCGCAAUGGACGAAAGUCUGACGGAGCAACGCCGCGUGAGUGAUGAAGGUUUUCGGAUCGUAAAGCUCUGUUGUUAGGGAAGAACAAGUGCAAGAGUAACUGCUUGCACCUUGACGGUACCUAACCAGAAAGCCACGGCUAACUACGUGCCAGCUAGCCGCGGUAAUACGUAGGUGGCAAGCGCUGUCCGGAAUUAUUGGGCG